CGGCGUGCCUAAUCAUGCAAGUGGAACGCAGUUGAUUCACCGGAGCUUGCUCCAUCGAAUUGACUGAGUCGCGAACGGGUGAGUAACGCGUAGGUAACCUGCCUGAUAGCGGGGGAUAACUAUUGGAAACGAUAGCUAAUACCGCAUAACAGUAUUUACCGCAUGGUAGAGACUUAAAAGGAGCAAAUGCUUCACUAUCAGAUGGACCUGCGUUGUAUUAGCUAGUAGGUAGGGUAACGGCCUACCUAGGCAUCGAUACAUAGCCGACCUGAGAGGGUGAUCGGCCACACUGGGACUGAGACACGGCCCAGACUCCUACGGGAGGCAGCAGUAGGGAAUCUUCGGCAAUGGGGGCAACCCUGACCGAGCAACGCCGCGUGAGUGAAGAAGGUUUUCGGAUCGUAAAGCUCUGUUGUAAGAGAAGAAUGUGUGUGGGAGUGGAAAAUCCAUGCAGUGACGGUAUCUUACCAGAAAGGGACGGCUAACUACGUGCCAGCAGCCGCGGUAAU
rnacentral:rRNA from 1 species